UACAUAGGGUGCAAGCGUUGUCCGGAAUUAUUGGGCGUAAAGAGUUCGUAGGUGGUUCGUUACGUCGGAUGUGAAAAUCUGGGGCUCAACCCCAGACCUGCAUUCGAUACGGGCGAGCUAGAGUUUGGUAGGGGAGACUGGAAUUCCUGGUGUAGCGGUGGAAUGCGCAGAUAUCAGGAGGAACACCAAUGGCGAAGGCAGGUCUCUGGGCCAAUACUGACACUGAGGAACGAAAGCGUGGGGAGCGAACAGGAUUAGAUACCCUGGUAGUCCACGCCGUAAACGGUGGGCGCUAGUUGUGGGGACCUUCCACGGUCUCUGCGACGCAGCUAACGCAUUAAGCGCCCCGCCUGGGGAGUACGAUCGCAAGAUUAAAACUCAAAGGAAUUGACGGGGCCCCGCACAAGCAGCGGAGCAUGCGGCUUAAUUCGACGCAACGCGAAGAACCUUACCAAGGCUUGGCAUAUAGGGAAAAGCGGCAGAGAUGUCGUGUCCGCAAGGGCUCUAUACAGGUGGUGCAUGGUUGUCGUCAGCUCGUGUCGUGAGAUGUUGGGUUAAGUCCCGCAACGAGCGCAACCCUCGUUCUGUGUUGCCAGCAUUUAGUUGGGGACUCACAGGAGACUGCCGGGGUUAACUCGGAGGAAGGUGGGGAUGACGUCAAAUCAUCAUGCCCCUUAUGUCUUGGGCUGCACGCAUGCUACAAUGGCCGAUACAAAGGGCUGCAAUACCGCAAGGUGGAGCGAAUCCCAAAAAGUCGGUCUCAGUUCGGAUUGAGGUCUGCAACUCGACCUCAUGAAGUCGGAGUUGCUAGUAAUCGUAGAUCAGCAACGCUACGGUGAAUACGUUCCCGGGGCU
rnacentral:rRNA from 1 species